UACCCGCUGAACUUAAGCAUAUCAAUAAGCGGAGGAAAAGAAACCAACCGGGAUUGCCUCAGUAACGGCGAGCGAAGCGGCAAAAGCUCAAAUUUGAAAUCUGGCCUCCUUCGGGGGUCCGAGUUGUAAUUUGUAGAGGAUGCUCUGGAAGCACGUGCAGCAUAUGUUUCUUGGAACAGUACGUCAUAGAGGGUGAGAACCCCGUUCGUGGCUGCAUUGUGUGGACAUGUAGAGCUCCUUCGACGAGUCGAGUUGUUUGGGAAUGCAGCUCUAAGUGGGUGGUAGGAGCCAUCUAAAGCUAAAUAUUGGCGAGAGACCGAUAGCGAACAAGUACAGUGAUGGAAAGAUGAAAAGAACUUUGAAAAGAGGGUGAAAAAGUACGUGAAAUUGCUGAAAGGGAAGCGUUUGAAAUCAGACAUGGCUCGUUGCGAUCAUUGCCUCUCGGGGUGGUGCUCUCGCGCGGGCUGGGCCAGCAUCAGUUCUGGCGGCAGGACAAUUGCUCAGGAAUGUGGCUCUUCGGAGUGUUAUAGCCUGGGUCGAUACUGCCAGCUGGGACUGAGGUCUGCGAUACACGGAUGCUGGUUUAAUGAUUUU
rnacentral:rRNA from 1 species